UCUCCGUUGGUGAACCAGCGGAGGGAUCAUUAUCGAGUUUAUAACUCCCAAACCCUAUGUGAACUUACCACUUGUUGCUUCGGCGCGCGCUUCGGUGCCGCCGAGGACACUUAAACCCUUUGUUUUUAUAAGCAUUUCUGAGUGGCCGAAAGGCAAAAUACAAAUGAAUCAAAACUUUCAACAACGGAUCUCUUGGUUCUG
rnacentral:misc_RNA from 1 species